CAAAAUUCUACACACAAUACCCCAUAAUGACCAUGCGAAUUUUGUUUAUGUUUGAAAAUUUAGUAAGGAUUUUUUUUUUAAAUCACAUGUGAAAAUGGCUGUGAAAAUGUGUGUAAAUAUGUUUUUUUUUUUCUUUUUAAUAAAUUUGCAAAUAAAAUAAAUUUAAAAAAAUCAUCGUCAUGAUGGGGGUAUUGUGUGUAGAAUUUUGUGGACAAAAUAAGUACCGUAUUUUUCGGACUAUAAGUCGCAUUUUUUUUCAUAGUUUGGCGACUUAUAUAGGUUUUUUUUCCUUCUUUAUUAUGCAUUUUCGGCAGGUGCGACUUAUACUCCGGUGCGACUUAUACUGCGAAAAAUACGGUACUCACACAUUUUCUACAUUUUGUUACGUUAGUCUUAUUCCAAAAUAGAAUACGUUCAAUGUUGUCCUCAAAAUUCUACACACAAUACCCCAUAAUGACCUAGUGAAUUUUGUUUAUGUUUGAAAAUGUAUUAAGGAUUUU